ACGAACGCUGGCGGCAUGCCUAACACAUGCAAGUCGAACGAAGCCUUCGGGCUUAGUGGCGCACGGGUGCGUAACGCGUGGGAAUCUGCCCUUUGGUUCGGAAUAACAGUUAGAAAUGACUGCUAAUACCGGAUGAUGACUUCGGUCCAAAGAUUUAUCGCCAAGGGAUGAGCCCGCGUAGGAUUAGGUAGUUGGUGGGGUAAAGGCCUACCAAGCCGACGAUCCUUAGCUGGUCUGAGAGGAUGAUCAGCCACACUGGGACUGAGGCACGGCCCAGACUCCUACGGGAGGCAGCAGUGGGGAAUAUUGGACAAUGGGCGAAAGCCUGAUCCAGCAAUGCCGCGUGAGUGAUGAAGGCCUUAGGGUCGUAAACUGCUUUUGAACGGGAGAAAACCCUUGCUCGUGAGCGAGGCUGAUAGUACCGUUAGAAUAAGCAUCGGCUAACUUCGU
rnacentral:rRNA from 1 species